CGAACCCACGAGGCUCAAUAAACCUUUCAGCACUGACAGGACUAUGAAUCUCGUUGUGAUGGCGGUUGAAAUUGAUUGAUGGAACUGGAGCAGAGUCCUGUUUGGCCGACGGCAAGGGAAGAAUUGAGGUGAAACUGCCUGUGAGGUAAUCUCGCCCCGGGGAAGCACGGUCAGAACUUACUUCACGUGGACCAGAGUACGCGGAGAACAGAAGAGGAGCGGUCGCAGGUGCAAAGCGUACCCGUCUCCUGAUAGCUACUUCCAGCAGGAUGAUGCAGAACGCCUCAAAGCUCAUCUCAAUUGAUUCACUUCACUCCAAUGGCCUCCACAGUCACCACAUCUCAAUCCAAUAGAGAUCUUGGGAUCUCUGUUGUCACAACAGAAGUGCAGGUGUGUCUUCACUGGGGAACAAUGUCCUUCAUUCAUUCUGUUUUGGCUUCUGUUGUGAUUGCUGUUGAAAUUGUCACACUUUGGGAUGAGGAGGAAAGGGAGAUUUGCACGUGCAGCCAACUAAAUAUCUGGGGAAUGUUUCCAAAGACUUGAAAUCUAUGCUACGAAGCGGUUCUGAAGGCAGACGGGCGUCCCACCCGGUACUUGCGAGGUGUCCCCAAUAAAGUGGCUAUUGAAUGUAUGUGCACAUCUAUCACCGCAGCUACUUGCCACUCAUCAUUAAGAGUAUUUGUUUUUAUUAGUUACAAUAUCAUUGAGUAAGUAUCCCCAGGGUUGAAGAGAGCAAGA
ensembl:lncRNA